rnacentral:rRNA from 1 species
CCCUAGUACGGCGAGUGAAGCGGCAACAGCUCAAAUUUGAAAGCUGGCCUUCGGGUCCGCAUUGUAAUUUGUAGAGGAUGCUUUGGGGCAGCCGCCUGUCUAAGUUCCUUGGAACAGGACGUCAUAGAGGGUGAGAAUCCCGUAUGUGACAGGACAUGGCACCCUAUGUAAAGCUCCUUCGACGAGUCGAGUUGUUUGGGAAUGCAGCUCUAAAUGGGAGGUAAAUUUCUUCUAAAGCUAAAUACCGGCGAGAGACCGAUAGCGCACAAGUAGAGUGAUCGAAAGAUGAAAAGCACUUUGGAAAGAGAGUUAAAAAGCACGUGAAAUUGUUGAAAGGGAAGCGCUUGCAAUCAGACUUGUUUUGACUGUUCGGCCGGUCUUCUGACCGGUUUACUCAGUCUGGACAGGCCAGCAUCAGUUUUGGCGGCCGGAUAAAGGCCUAGGGAAUGUGGCUCUCGCUUCGGUGGGAGUGUUAUAGCCCUGGGUGUAAUACGGCCAGCCGGGACUGAGGUCCGCGCUUCGGCUAGGAUGCUGGCGUAAUGGUUGUAAGCGACC